rnacentral:rRNA from 1 species
UACGAAGGUCCCCGAGCGUUGUUCGGAAUCACUGGGCGUAAAGGGAGCGUAGGCGGCGCGGUAAGUCAGAUGUGAAAAUCCCGGGGCUCAACCCCCGGAACUGCAUCCGAUACUGCCGUGCUAGAGGAUUGGAGAGGUAGCUGGAAUUCUUGGUGUAGCAGUGAAAUGCGCAGAUAUCAGGAAGAACACCAAUGGCGAAAGCAGCUUUCUGGGACGGUACUGACGCUGGAGACGCGAAAGCGUGGGGAGCGAACAGG